GCUGUAGCUGUGAUGAGAACUUGGCUCCCUCUACUGAGAGCUGUGAGGAGAUCUGCCAUCGUUACCCAAUAUUCUCUGAGAUACAGC
ensembl:snoRNA SNORD100 small nucleolar RNA SNORD100